rnacentral:rRNA from 1 species
UGGGGAAUUUUGGACAAUGGGCGAAAGCCUGAUCCAGCCAUGCCGCGUGAGUGAAGAAGGCCUUCGGGUUGUAAAGCUCUUUUAGUCGGAAAGAAAGAGUUGCAAUGAAUAAUUGUGAUUUAUGACGGUACCGACAGAAAAAGCACCGGCUAACUACGUUCCAGCAGCCGCGGUAAUACGUAGGGUGCGAGCGUUAAUCGGAAUUACUGGGCGUCACGGGUGCGCAGGCGGUCUUGCAAGUCAGAUGUGAAAGCCCCGGGCUUAACCUGGGAAGUGCGUUUGAAACUACAAGGCUAGAGUGCAGCAGAGGGGAGUGGAAUUCCAUGUGUAGCAGUGAAAUGCGUAGAGAUGUGGAAGAACACCGAUGGCGAAGGCAGCUCCCUGGGUUGACACUGACGCUCAUGCACGAAAGCGUGGGGAGCAAACA